UACGGAGGGAGCUAGCGUUGUUCGGAAUUACUGGGCGUAAAGCGUGCGCAGGCGGUUAUGUAAGACAGAUGUGAAAUGCCCGGGCUUAACCUGGGAACUGCAUUUGUGACUGCAUGGCUAGAGUUUGGCAGAGGGGGGUAGAAUUCCACGUGUAGCAGUGAAAUGCGUAGAUAUGUGGAGGAACACCGAUGGCGAAGGCAGCCCCCUGGGUCAAGACUGACGCUCAUGCACGAAAGCGUGGGGAGCAAACAGG
rnacentral:rRNA from 1 species